rnacentral:rRNA from 1 species
UACAGAGGUCUCAAGCGUUGUUUCGGAUUCAUUGGGCGUAAAGGGUGCGUAGGCGGCGCGGUAAGUCGGGUGUGAAAUCUCGGGGCUUAACUCCGAAACUGCAUUCGAUACUGCCGUGCUUGAGGACUGGAGAGGAGACUGGAAUUUACGGUGUAGCGGUGAAAUGCGUAGAUAUCGUAAGGAAGACCAGUGGCGAAGGCGGGUCUCUGGACAGUUCCUGACGCUGAGGCACGAAGGCCAGGGGAGCAAACGGG